UACGAAGGGUGCAAGCGUUACUCGGAAUUACUGGGCGUAAAGCGUGCGUAGGUGGUUCGUUAAGUCUGAUGUGAAAGCCCUGGGCUCAACCUGGGAAUGGCAUUGGAUACUGGCGACCUAGAGUGCGGUAGAGGGGUGUGGAAUUCCCGGUGUAGCAGUGAAAUGCGUAGAUAUCGGGAGGAACAUCGGUGGCGAAGGCGACACCCUGGACCAGCACUGACACUGAGGCACGAAAGCGUGGGGAGCAAACAGG
rnacentral:rRNA from 1 species